GGUCACUUUUGCAAAAGUAAAAAGGAAAAUAAAUUAAAAAAAAUCCCAAAACCCUGUCCAUCGCCCAUUCUUCCACCCCAACCUAGCCACCACCACCCCAGCCUAACCGCCUCUCCUACCUCUUAUCUCUCCAGCCACACCACCACCACUCCCAUCCCUUACGGCCUAAAUCACCACCAACACUCAAAAUCAGCCUAAUUCCUAACCCCCACUGAAAUCAGUCUAACCCCUACCCCUGUUGCAGCCAAAAGAACCCUCCAUUCCUACUGAAAUUAGCCCUACCAUCGCCACCACCACUCGAAAUCAGUCCAACUCCCAACUCCCACUAAAAUCAGCCAAAACCCCACCCUUUUCGCAGCCAAAACAAGCUCCCACCACCACUGAAAUCAGCGCUACCUGUAACAUUCGAGUAAUUAAUUCGGGAAUUUAAAGUAAAUAAAUAAAUAAAAUACCCAAACCCUCCUCCUCUUUCCUCUUUCAUUCGCAUAACCCAGUAAUUGAACACAUCAAAACCCAUGAACACAGUCCUUAUUCCUCAUUCAUUUGAACCCAAAGAAAAAUCAGAUUUUCACCAUCUUCCAUCGCACCAUUUCCUCUGAAAAUGGUCGAAAUCUUACUUGAAAUCUUCCACAGUUUAGCAACCUUCUCCUUUAUUCAAUUCACUGAUUUUCGAGUGCAACCUUUGUAAUUUUGAUCUGAGUUUUCAAGGAAUUUAGCCUUAACAUAGCCUCCUUUGAAGCUUUACUUCGAAAAACAACAAUGGCAUACCAGCAUUCUUCUUCUUCCCUCUGAUCUUCGAAGGACCUGCGUGCGAAAAUCAGUUGGUUCUUCUUCCCUUCGUGAUUUUCAAGAAACAUCCGACAACUUCCCUUCCUUGACCUAGAUUCUACUGAAAUGGGGGAGGUUUGAGUGAGUUUUGGUCCGGUUGCAUAGACAUCAAAUCCAUGCCAAAAAUCAAACAUUGAACCUGUUCUUUCUCGUUUCUUGCUGCUGCAAACAGAAGUUUGUUUUACAGAUCGGAACUGGUCGGGAACGAUGGGUUAGCGGAGUUGAUUAGAGUUCCAAGGAUGUUAUAUUGAGCUGAACACAUUAGAAUUUUGUAGUUUUGUAUUAGGCUUUGGUAAUUGUAUAUUAGUCUAGACUGUAUUGGUUAUGUUGGACUUUUAUAGAGACUUUUAUAAUUACUUUUUGAUUUAGCUAGAUGUUUGGAUUGAGAAUUAGCUAAUACAGCUAUGUCAUAAAA